AUUAACAGUACACUGACAACACGGUUAUGGGGUGAGAUAGGAGACGUUUCGAGAUAUUUAUAGGACAUUUGGUUCCACAUACCUUAUGUUCAGUUAUAUUAUAGAACGACACAGUUGUGAUACUCGUGGAAUACACAUAUGAUGAAAAGA